rnacentral:rRNA from 1 species
GACGAACGCUGGCGGCGUGCUUAACACAUGCAAGUCGAGCGGUAAGGCCUUUCGGGGUACACGAGCGGCGAACGGGUGAGUAACACGUGGGUGAUCUGCCCUGCACUUCGGGAUAAGCCUGGGAAACUGGGUCUAAUACCGGAUAUGACCUCCUAUCGCAUGGUGGGUGGUGGCAAGAUUUAUCGGUGCAGGAUGGGCCCGCGGCCUAUCAGCUUGUUGGUGGGGUAAUGGCCUACCACGGCGACGACGGGUAGCCGACCUGAGAGGGUGACCGGCCACACGGGGACUGAGACACGGAGCAGACGCCUACGGGAGGCAGCGGGGGGGAAUAUGGCACAGUGGGCGAAAGCCUGAUGCAGAGACGCCGCGUGAGGGAUGAAGGCCUUCGGGGUGUAAACCUCUUUCAGCAGGGACGAAGCGCAAGUGACGGUACCAGCAGAAGAAGCACCGGCUAACUACGUG